AUUAUAUAAGGAAAAAGUUACGUAACCGCACGUGACCAAAAAAAGGUGCUAUAAUUGAUAGGUACCAAAAAUCACAUAGCACCCAUAGCAAGUGAUAAAAUUAAUAUAACCGUUUAUUAAUAUAUCCGACAUAGUAAACAUAUUACUACCAGGGAUAACGGAUUAUAUAAAACACGCUUAUUACUAUAUAAAUAAAUUCGAUUUUAGAAUUGUUUAGCAGUAAUUAAAUUUUAGUUAACUUUAAUAUUUAUUUAAAAACGAUUAUAAUUUCACCCUUAAUUAUUAAAAACGAGGAUUACGACAAUUCCGAAAAAUGUUUUAGGGAAAAUUCGGUAACCUAAACGAAAAAUGUACGGCCGAACGUAAAUUUAUGCGCUUUACCCAAACCAAAUCGGUAUUUAAAUAUACUAGUAAAUUUCGACAAAUUACCGCCAAAUUACCAUGGGGCAAAAAGGUUUUAAUAAUACGUUUCUAUGCGGAAUUUAAAAAAAAGGUUAAAAACGAACUGGUUAAAAAAAACGACCGGACAUAUUAACAAAAUAUGUGGAGUUAACGGUUAAAAUCGACAAUCGAUUUUACGACCAAAAGCUGGAAUAACGCGAAAAACGUAAUAUAUGGGGCCCAGUUUUGCAAUAAACUAAUAUAGGACGCAAAUAUUAAUACCCCAAACCGUUUCGCCAAUAUAAUACCGCGUACGGUAUAUAUAGCGGAUUUAUAAAUUUAAACGCAAUUUAAUACCAAUAACCUCGCAAAAGCCCUAAAGAUGGUAAAUAUUUUAAAUGUAAUAAACCGGGAUAUAUCGCGCGAAAUUGUCCCGAAACCUAUAACGGUACCCCAAAAUUUACCAUUAAUUUUAGGGGUUAACCCGAAAAACCACGAAAGUUUAAUAUUAUUAACCACAACCAAAUAUAACCUAACUAACAUAAUAUAAUAAAUUGGACUAUUUGUUAUAACGACAAUCGUCUAACUUAUAAUAGCUCCAAAAUCGAUGCAGGUUAGUAUUUAUAAAAAUCCCGAAAUAUUUAAACCUUAACGAUAGGAAAUUAAAUAUUUAUCGGAACGAAGCGACCAAUUAAUUUACACCGAUAAAACGCUAAAUUACCCGAAUUAACAAAUUCGGACGUUUUAGGAAAAUCGGAUACGGAAUUAUUGGAACAAGUUUACCGUAUUAAAAUACUAAAUUAACUAUGGACCGAAAAAUCGAGUGAAAAUUUUGGAAAAAAUUCCAGCGAUAAAAAAAACGUAACCCCAAAUAUAUAUAAUAUAACAGGGAUUAACGACCCGUAUAAAUACGAAAAAAAACAAAUCGAUUUAUACCGAGACGAUUAAUUAGUACAAUUUCCAGGUUAUAUUUUAAUUUAAUAAAAACGGGAUUUUAUAAAAUAUAUAAUAUUGAUAUUUGGGAACCACCCCAAAUUAUAUUUACGUUUUUUGGGUAAAAUGUUUUAAAAAUAACUGCGGAAUUUAUUUAAACAAAAGAAUUUACCACAAUUUUUUCCCACGACGACGAUUAGUAAUCGGAAUCCACGAAAUUUAUAUAAUCCAAAAAUUGCCCAAUUGGGAAAUUAAAAUAAAAUUCCGAAACGAACCAGCGGUUAUUUUUACAUUUAGCGACAAAUACCCUAUAACGUAUUACCACGAGCUCAAUUUCUUAUAAUACAAAUAUAUUCGCAAUAUAUGUUAAAUCCAUAUGCUAACUAAAACCCAAAAUUGGUACGUACGAAAAUAACAAUAUUAAAUACCUGCACCUAUAACCAAAAUUGUAUGGGAUCCGCAAAUAAAAAACAAAUAAACAUUUACGAACGUACGCAGAAUACCGAUACCAGUAAAAUAUCCAUUAAACCAAAUUAAGGUAAAAAACAAUUAUACGUCCCGAAAUAAAAAAACCAAGGACCCAUAACGCGAAUUUAGCAAAUUAAAAAAUUAGGAUAACCAGACGGUAUAGGGUAUCGAACGGCGAAAAAAGGAACGGAAAUAAAAACCUUGAAGGUUACGUAAAAUACGGUAAUAAAAUACGAAUAUGUAUUUUUUAAUAUACGAUUUGAUGGUAAAUUUAUACGAGCAUUUUUCGACCAUAAAAUAUAAAACAAUUAUAUAUUCCCAAAGGUCGUAAAAAAACAACGGAUAUUUUGGUAGUAAAAGGAAAAACUAUACUAACUGCAAACCGUGGAAAGAAAAACAAUUUUAUACGGGAAUGGUAUUAUUGAAAUAAAAACCGUAUAUUUUUGGAUGGAAAAUUACGGACGAAAAAAAUAAAUUAUUUUGGAUAUUACGGAGAUAAAAGAUAAAAAUAUGAUUUUAAAAAUCCCUUGGUUUAAAAGGAGCAACCCCAAAAUAAAUUGGACAACCGGCCAGGUCCAAUAGGAAAAGUACCUAAUUAUUAAACGACCUAGGAUAUAUAAGGGUUUAUAUAAAAAUAUAAAAUACGGACGAACCAAAUAAAAUAAAUGGCGUAUUUACGAAAAGGACGACCAAACCCGGAGCCAAUAUUGGAAAAAAAGCGACUAUUUACAAAUUAGAACCGAUCCAAUUAUAUAAUACCAAAUACAAACGAACAAACCAAAAACGGCAAAAUUCUAGGAAAGAAUCAGAUUUAUACGCGAUUAUUUAGUUAAAAAUUCGAAACAGAAUUGCCCGAGCAUAGUUUAUUCGACUACGAAAUACCAUUAAAAGAAAGAACCCAACCGAAAUUCUAUAAAAUAUACGGUUUAAAUCCAAUAAAGAUGGAAAUAUUAGACGAAUACCUUGCAAUAUUUUUUAAAAAAGGUUAUAUUAGAUUAUUAACAUUACCAACAAAAUACCCAAUCCUUUUCGUACCAAACAAAACGGAAAUUUACGAUUAUACGUGGAUUACAAAUAAUUAAACGACAUUAUUAUAAAAAAUUGCUACCCGCUCCCAUUAAUAGGAGACUUUCGGGAUAUGUUUUACCAAAUAUAAUAAUUUACGAUAUUAAAUUUUAAAGGAGCAUAUAAUUUAAUCCGUAUAAAGGAAAACGAAAAAUGGAAAACCGCGUUUCGCACCAAACGAAGAUAUUGCGAGUAUUUAAUAAUACUUUUCGGCCUUACCGACGCCCCAGUAACCUUCUAACCCAUAAUUAAUUACGUUUUUAGGAAAUGCCUAAAUAUUUUUGUCGUUAUUUACCUGGACGAUAUUUUUAUUUCUUCCAAAACGUUCGAAAAAUAUAAAUAAUACGUUUAUACAAUUUUACAAAAGUUACAAAACGUUAAACUUUUAAUUAAAUCAGAAAAAUAUUUUUUUACAGCAAGCAAAUUAAUUUCCUAGGAUAUAUUAUCGUUCCUGGAGAAAUUAGGAUGGAAAGAUCGAAAAUCCAAACAGUAAAGGAAUGGUUUUAACUACAAAACGUAAAGGACGUCCGAACUUUCCUCGGAUUCGUGAACUUUUACAAAAAAUUCCUUAAAAAUUACAGCGCGAUCGUUAACCCUUUAACCGAUAUAAUCAAAAACAACCUGGAAUUUAAAUGGACGGAAUAAAUAUAACAGGCUUUCGAACAGUUAUAAAACGCAGUAAUACGAAAACCAAUUUUCAAAAUACCAAAUCCAAUGAAAUCUUUCGAAAUCGAAGCUAAUAUAUCCGAUUACGCGAUCGGAGGAUAAUUUAAUUAACGAGAUGAAAAAGGAAGAUUGCAUUUUUGAGCCUUUUUAUUAUAAAAAUUACACGGACCAGAAUUUUAUUACCAAAUAUACAAUAAAGAAUCUAUGGCUAUUGUUUAAACAUUCGAAAAAUGGAAACCCCAAUUAUCCGGAAUUAAACACGAGGUGUUAAUUUACACGGACCACAAAAACCUAACCCAUUUUACUAUUAGCAAAAUGUUAAAUAAACGACAAAUUAAAUGGUUAAAAUUCUAUUUUAAAAUUAUUUACCGAAAAGAAACAGAAAACGGCAGGGCCGACGCCUUUAACCGGAAAUUAAAUUACGAAAAUAUAAUACCAAAGAAAACGCGGGUUAUUUUUACGAUAGAAGAAAACGGAAACCUUUUACCAGCGCACCGGAGCCUAAUAAUAAUAAAUACGGUAAUUACGCCAGAAAAAAUACGGAAAAUCCACGGAAUUAAAGCCCACGGACACCAAAAAAUUUCCAAAAUAUAGAAACGGCUAAAACAAUACUAUAAUUUCCAGGGAAUACGAUAAAAAGUACGAAAAAUUAUUAAAGAUUGCGAAUUUUAUACGAAAGGCAAAUCCGCAAAAUAUAAACUUUACGGAUUAUUAUAACCUUUACCAACCUUUAAUAAGGCCUGGUAAAUUAUUACAAUGGAUUUUAUCGUUAAAUUACCACUUUCGGAAAAACCAUUUACAAAAACGAAAUAUAAUAGCAUAUUAGUUAUAAUGGAAAAAUUUACUAAAUACGCCUAUUU
rnacentral:sRNA from 1 species